AUGAAGACAUGUGUUUCUACUUUAUUCAUGUUUCUGUGGCUGCAGAUGGAUGGGAUGAGCCAAGGAGAGCAGGUGGAGCAGCACCUUUCCAUCCUGAGAGUCCAGGAGGGAGCCAGCGCUGUCAUCAACUGCACUUACACAGACAGUGCCUCGGACUAUUUCUCUUGGUAUAAGCAAGAACCUGGGAAAGGUCCUCAGUUCUUCAUGGACAUUCGUUCAAAUGUGGACAGAAAGCAGAACCAAAGACUCACAGUUUUACUGGAUAAGAAGGCCAAACACUUCUCCCUGCACAUCACAGACACUCAGCCUGGAGACUCAGCUAUGUACUUCUGUGCAGCAAGUACACACUGCCCCACUGGCACCUGCUGCCUGUCCUCAAACCAUGGGGCUGUGUCCACAUCCUGUGUCACGGGCCUUCCAGGGCAGCAUUUGCCAGUUGCUAGUUUGCAAGUGCCAAGUAUAAUGUAGACAUUAAAAACACAAAAUAAGAAAGUUAGCUUCAACUCCCUCAGACAAUUUAGGACAGUUUUCUCCAUCCUUAAAAAAAAAUAUUUUAUCAAAGAGCCAGCCACUGAGUUCAUGUCAAAGACAGUCCCUGCUCCCCGUAUUAGGGAAAUCACUUGGAGACUGAGCUGCCAUGGGCUACAUCUGCGCAGGGGUUCUAGGUUAUCUCCAUGAAUGGUUCUUGAUUGGAGUAUCAGUCUCAGAAAAGGCACCUGGGCCCAGAUUUUUGGUUCUGUUGUUCUCCCUGUGGAGCUUCUGUCCCUUCCAGGUCUUUCUAUCUCCCCCUUUUAUAUAAGAUUCCCUGCACUCUGCCCAAAGUUUGACUAUGAGUCUCAGCAUCUGCUUUGAUACUUUGCUGGGUAGAGUCUUUCGGAGGCCCUCUCUGGUAGGCUCUUUUUCUGUGCCCUGUUUUCUCCUUUUUCCAAUGUCC